rnacentral:tRNA from 1 species
GCGCCCGUAACUCAGCUGGAUAGAGUGCUAGCCUUCUAAGCUGGAAGCCGGAGGUUCGAGUCCUCCCGGGCGCA